UACGUAGGGGGCUAGCGUUGUCCGGAUUUAUUGGGCGUAAAGAGCGUGUAGGCGGCCAGGUAGGUCUGGUGUGAAAACUCGAGGCUUAACCUCGAGAUGUCAUCGGAAACCAUCUGGCUAGAGUCCGGAAGAGGAGAGUGGAAUUCCUGGUGUAGCGGUGAAAUGCAUAGAUAUGUCACAGAACACCAAUUGCGAAGGCAGCUUACUAAAGUAUGAUUGACGCUGAGGCACGAAAGCGUGGGGAUCAAACAGG
rnacentral:rRNA from 1 species